rnacentral:lncRNA from 1 species
ACAGGCGGUGGAACCUGACCGUCAAGUGCGUACAAGCUUCUGCAGACGAAGAAAAAGAAGGCGAGAAGCUGAUUGUAACGAGAUUGAGCUCUCUAAGAGUGAAAAAUUGGUUGAAUUAAAGUCCUAGGGUUCGAAGAAGGAGAUGAAAUGUAUCGAAAUUAUGCUUUAUACCUCAAGUCUUUCGAUUGCGGCGGUUGCUGUUGCUGUUGUUGUUGUGAAAUUUGAUACUGUUGCUGAAAAUUGUUCUGAGGAAAACCCAUGGAUUCAAAUAUUUCGAAGAUUAAACUCCGCAGGAACAAUGACCGGAGAGAGAGAUAGAGGGGGGGAAAGGGGAGACGAUGGUCGAAUUCCCGAUGGAUGGAAAGAUUCUCUGUAUUUUUCCAAAUGGUCCUUCGAAUCUUCAAUAAUAUACGUUCGGUACAAAAAAU